AUCCAUUAAACGAGUCCCAAAUAGGACGAAGCGCGCGUCCUGGAU
rfam:Schistosoma rodhaini strain Burundi genome assembly, scaffold: SROB_scaffold0021722